rnacentral:rRNA from 1 species
CCUACGGGAGGCAGCAGUGGGGGAUAUUGCACAAUGGGGGAAGCCCUGAUGCAGCGACGCCGCGUGUGGGAAGACGGUCUUCUGGAUUGUAAACCACUGUCACAAGGGACGAAAAUGACGGUACCUGGGGAGGAAGCUCCGGCUAACUACGUGCCAGCAGCCGCGGUACUACGUAGGUAGCAAGCGUUGUCCGGAAUUACGGGGUGUAAAGGGAGCGUAGGCGGGGAUGCAAGUUGGGGGUAAAAACUACCGGCUCAACCGAUAGUCGCACUCAAAACUGCAGCUUUUGAGUGAAGUAGAGGCAGGCGGAAUUCCUAGUGUAGCGGUGAAAUGCGUAGAUAUUAGGAAGAACACCAGUGGCGAAGGCGGCCUGCUGGGCUUUUACUGACGCUGAGGCUCGAAAGUGUGGGGAGCAAACAGGAUUAGAUACCCGUGUAGUC